GCCGGGAUAGCUCAGCUGGGAGAGCAACAGACUGAAGCCUCUUGUGAGAUCUUCUGGAGGUCCCGUGUUCAAUCCACGGUCCUGGCA